GAGUUUGAUCUUGGCUCAGAUUGAACGCUGGCGGCAGGCCUAACACAUGCAAGUCGAGCGGUAGAGAGAAGCUUGCUUCUCUUGAGAGGCGGCGGACGGGUGAGUAAUGCCUAGGAAUCUGCCUGGUAGUGGGGGAUAACGCUCGGAAACGGACGCUAAUACCGCAUACGUCCUACGGGAGAAAGCAGGGGACCUUCGGGCCUUGCGCUAUCAGAUGAGCCUAGGUCGGAUUAGCUAGUUGGUGAGGUAAUGGCUCACCAAGGCGACGAUCCGUAACUGGUCUGAGAGGAUGAUCAGUCACACUGGAACUGAGACACGGUCCAGACUCCUACGGGAGGCAGCAGUGGGGAAUAUUGGACAAUGGGCGAAAGCCUGAUCCAGCCAUGCCGCGUGUGUGAAGAAGGUCUUCGGAUUGUAAAGCACUUUAAGUUGGGAGGAAGGGCAGUAAAUUAAUACUUUAGCUGUUUUGACGUUACCGACAGAAUAAGCACCGGCUAAC
rnacentral:rRNA from 1 species